GACGAACGUUGGCGGCGUGCUUAACACAUGCAAGUCGAACGGAAAGGCCCUGCUUUUGUGGGGUGCUCGAGUGGCGAACGGGUGAGUAACACGUGAGUAACCUGCCCUUGACUUUGGGAUAACUUCAGGAAACUGGGGCUAAUACCGGAUAGGAGCUCCUGCAGCAUGGUGGGGGUUGGAAAGUUUCGGCGGUUGGGGAUGGACUCGCGGCUUAUCAGCUUGUUGGUGGGGUAGUGGCUUACCAAGGCUUUGACGGGUAGCCGGCCUGAGAGGGUGACCGGCCACAUUGGGACUGAGAUACGGCCCAGACUCCUACGGGAGGCAGCAGUGGGGAAUAUUGCACAAUGGGCGGAAGCCUGAUGCAGCAACGCCGCGUGCGGGAUGACGGCCUUCGGGUUGUAAACCGCUUUCGCCUGUGACGAAGCGUGAGUGACGGUAAUGGGUAAAGAAGCACCGGCUAACUACGUGCCAGCAGCCGCGGUGAUACGUAGGGUGCGGGCGUUGUCCGGAUUUAUUGGGCGUAAAGGGCUCGUAGGUGGUUGAUCGCGUCGGAAGUGUAAUCUUGGGGCUUAACCCUGAGCGUGCUUUCGAUACGGGUUGACUUGAGGAAGGUAGGGGAGAAUGGAAUUCCUGGUGGAGCGGUGGAAUGCGCAGAUAUCAGGAGGAACACCAGUGGCGAAGGCGGUUCUCUGGGCCUUUCCUGACGCUGAGGAGCGAAAGCGUGGGGAGCGAACAGGCUUAGAUACCCUGGUAGUCCACGCUGUAAACGGUGGGUACUAGGUGUGGGGUCCAUUCCACGGGUUCCGUGCCGUAGCUAACGCUUUAAGUACCCCGCCUGGGGAGUACGGCCGCAAGGCUAAAACUCAAAGGAAUUGACGGGGCCCCGCACAAGCGGCGGAGCAUGCGGAUUAAUUCGAUGCAACGCGUAGAACCUUACCUGGGUUUGACAUGGAUCGGGAGUGCUCAGAGAUGGGUGUGCCUCUUUUGGGGUCGGUUCACAGGUGGUGCAUGGCUGUCGUCAGCUCGUGUCGUGAGAUGUUGGGUUAAGUCCCGCAACGAGCGCAACCCUUGUUCACUGUUGCCAGCACGUUAUGGUGGGGACUCAGUGGAGACCGCCGGGGUCAACUCGGAGGAAGGUGGGGAUGACGUCAAGUCAUCAUGCCCCUUAUGUCCAGGGCUUCACGCAUGCUACAAUGGCUGGUACAGAGAGUGGCGAGCCUGUGAGGGUGAGCGAAUCUCGGAAAGCCGGUCUCAGUUCGGAUUGGGGUCUGCAACUCGACCUCAUGAAGUCGGAGUCGCUAGUAAUCGCAGAUCAGCAACGCUGCGGUGAAUACGUUCCCGGGGC
rnacentral:rRNA from 1 species